GGACCAGACUCCUACGGGAGGCAGCAGUGAGGAAUAUUGGUCAAUGGCCGGAAGGCUGAACCAGCCAAGCCGCGUGAGGGAGGAAGGCGCAGAGCGUCGCAGACCUCUUUUGCCGGGGGACAAAAGGCCGGACGGGUCCGGUUCUGAGGGUACCCGGAGAAAAAGCAUCGGCUAACUCCGUGCCAGCGGCCGCGGUAAUACGGAGGAUGCGAGCGUUAUCCGGAUUUAUUGGGUUUAAAGGGUGCGCAGGCGGUCUGUUAAGUCAGCGGUCAAAGCCCGGGGCUCAACCCCGGCCUGCCGUCGGAACUGGGUGCCUUGAGUGGGCGAGAAGUAUGCGGAAUGCGUGGUGUAGCGGUGAAAUGCAUAGAUAUCACGCAGAACCCCGAUUGCGAAGGCAGCAUACCGGCGCCCUACUGACGCUGAGGCACGAAAGUGCGGGUAUCGAACAGGAUUAGAUACCCCGGUACAA
rnacentral:rRNA from 1 species